AUAGUCACUUAUUUCCUCUAUGAUAGAUUGGAGGAUAAAAAUCAUGAUGACUUUCCUUAAUCAGCUCAUUAUUGGGUGUUUGAUUGCUUUAUUCAGUUAUUGGUUAGAUAACCGAACAAAGAAAAAAUAAGAUGACAUACUAACCCACCACUUUUAAUAUUAACUAAAAAAAGGCCUCAGCGGUAGCACCCGCUGAGGCCUUUGGUGUACCAUG
rnacentral:sRNA from 1 species